UACACUCACACGGUUACAGUCACACACACACAGUUACAGUCACACAAAUUUACAGUCACACACAGGUAGUCCCACACAGUUACAGUCACACACAGGCAGACAGUCACACACACAGUACAGUCACACACAGCUAUAGUCACACACAGUUAAAGUCACAAACAGGUAAUCAGUCAUACACACACAGACAGUCAUACACACACAGGCAGACAGUCUCUCACACAC